rnacentral:rRNA from 1 species
AGGACGAACGCUGGCGGCGUGCUUAACACAUGCAAGUCGAGCGGAAAGGCCUUUCGGGGUACUCGAGCGGCGAACGGGUGAGUAACACGUGAGUAAUCUGCCCAUCGCUUCAGGAUAGCCAUCGGAAACGGUGAUUAAUACUGGAUAUGACUAUUCCUUCGCAGUUGGUUGGGGUGUGGUAAAGUUUUUUCGGCGGUGGAUGUGCU